GCACUGCUGAGGAGUCCCACAACAGGACAAAAUGGCCGUCCAGUGC
rfam:Schistosoma haematobium scaffold441_12, whole genome shotgun sequence.